rnacentral:rRNA from 1 species
UACGGAGGUGGCUAGCGUUGUUCGGAAUUACUGGGCGUAAAGCGCGCGUAGGCGGACCUGCAAGUCGGGGGUGAAAGCCCGAGGCUCAACCUUGGAACUGCCUUCGAUACUGCUGGUCUCGAGUCCGGGAGAGGUGAGUGGAAUUCCUAGUGUAGAGGUGAAAUUCGUAGAUAUUAGGAAGAACACCAGUGGCGAAGGCGGCUCACUGGCCCGGUACUGACGCUGAGGCGCGAAAGCGUGGGGAGCAAACAGG